GUAAAUACUAAAAUAAUUUUAGAAUCCCAUGAGCUUUAGAAAUAAACUAAUCUAACUAUUGCAGUAUUGUGUCUAACAAUUAAAUGUCAUAAUUUUUUGAUAAUCUAUAAAAAAAAGGUAUUUUAUGUGGGUUUGGUUGCAGGCUCAGUGUCACACACAUUAGCACUAUUAAAUAAAGCUUUAGAAGCGUUUGUGGGAGUGACAGAGGCGGGGGCUCAAGUAGCAGAUUAUUAGAUGAUCAUUCUGCUGCCCAAAACACAGUCCAUUAGGUUUUAAAUACUAAUACCUAUUAUUUAAUAACCCUUAUUUAUUUAUUUAUUUAUUUAUUUUUUUUAAUAGGUUUUCUGAGAGGAAAUGCAUAUUCUUGGAACUAUAUUCAUUUUUAUUCUGGCACUCAAAGUCUGUCUAGGUUUCUACCUUCAGAUGUCGGAGGUCCAGGCAUAUCUAGGAGAAAGCGUGAUCUUGUCCUGCAAUGGUUCAGGAUUCCCUGUGGAAGAGUUGCACGUUCACUGGGAGGCAAUGGGCAAAGACGUCAUCUCUCUACGUGGAGAUGUUGUCAUGGUCGGGAGAGGGUUUGAAGACCGGGUGAACUUCCUCAGUGAUCCUACAGAAUCUGAGGACUUAUCCCUCAUUCUGUCAGAUGUGAUGCUGAAUGAUGGAGAUAUAUAUGAAUGUCUCUGGGAGGGAACAAAACCCAUUUGCUCUGUAUUACUACAGGUGUCGACACCAGCUUUUUUUACAAGUUAUGUGGAAGCGUUUGAGGGUGACGGUAUCACUUUGGAGUGCUUUGGAAAUAUUCCUAAAAAUAAACCAUGGGAAGACAUUUAUGUCCAAUGGCUGAAAGAUGACAGAGAAAUCCUGCGGUUGAGCUCUGGAAAGAUGGACUUCGGUAUUGAUUACAGCAUCAUGAAAUUACCGUCCAAACACGACAUCAGUCGUGGUAUCUUCUCAUUGAGCAUCACGUCAGUAAGUGUUUUUGACCAGGGUGUUUAUCAGUGUCGUUACAAGAACACAGAUUAUGAGGCGCCGCGGAGCGGGUUCCCAGAGACGUACAAACUCACUGUUUGGGUGUUGACAGAUGUAUCAGACACGUCAGUCCCAGAGACAGGCACUGAUUCUAGUAAGUAUUGAGUGUUUCUGUUUGACUAUUAAUAAACACGGAGGCAUAUUUAUGCA
ensembl:lncRNA